GCGCUCAUAGCUCAAUGGAUAGAGCGACAGCCUGCGAAGCUGCAGAUUCGGGUUCGAUUCCCGGUGAGCGCA
rnacentral:tRNA from 2 species